rnacentral:misc_RNA from 1 species
ACAAAAGGGAAAAAGGCGUGGCGGGCGCAAGCUCGUUUCACGUUCUGGUCCCGAAAUCCUGUAUUCACCCCAAGUUCCUUUAAAAUUUCAAUAAAAAAACUCUGCAAAAAGACCACCUUUUAAAGUGGCAUCUAAUUGCACAAAGCGA